AGUGAACGCUGGCGGUAGGCCUAACACAUGCAAGUCGAACGGCAGCACAGAGGAGCUUGCUCCUUGGGUGGCGAGUGGCGGACGGGUGAGGAAUACAUCUGAAUCUACUCUGUCGUGGGGGAUAACGUAGGGAAACUUCCGCUAAUACCGCAUACGGCCUACGGGUGUAAUGAGGGGAUCUUCGGACCUUGCGCGAUUGAAUGAGCGGAUGUCGGAUUAGCUAGUUGGCGGGGUAAAGGCCCACCAAGGCGACGAUCCGUAGCUGGUCUGAGAGGAUGAACAGCCACACUGGGACUGAGACACGGUCCAGACUCCUACGGGAGGCAGCAGUGGGGAAUAUUGGACAAUGGGCGCAAGCCUGAUCCAGCCAUACCGCGUGGGUGAAGAAGGCCUUCGGGUUGUAAAGCCCUUUUGUUGGGAAAGAAAUCCAGCCGGCUAAUACCUGGUUGGGAUGACGGUACCCAAAGAAUAAGCACCGGCUAACUUCGUGCCAGCCGCCGCAGUAA
rnacentral:rRNA from 1 species